rnacentral:rRNA from 3 species
UACGGAGGAUCCGAGCGUUAUCCGGAUUUAUUGGGUUUAAAGGGUGCGUAGGCGGCCUAUUAAGUCAGGGGUGAAAGACGGUAGCUUAACUAUCGCAGUGCCUUUGAUACUGAUAGGCUUGAAUGUACUUGAGGUAGGCGGAAUGUGACAAGUAGCGGUGAAAUGCAUAGAUAUGUCACAGAACACCAAUUGCGAAGGCAGCUUACUAAAGUAUGAUUGACGCUGAGGCACGAAAGCGUGGGGAUCAAACAGG